rnacentral:lncRNA from 1 species
GCUCUGAGUCAGUUCUCCAGGUAAGGCUAGUUCUUUCACUAGGUUUACAAAUUCAUGAGUAUUACUCUUGUCAUUGAAAAGUUCAAUUUGACCUACAAAUUCAAUUCUAAUUCCUUGGUGUUCUAGCCUCUUUCCAGGUUGCUUAAAGGCUAGGUUUACCUUUCCUGAAACGGAUUCUCCGUCAUAGAAGAGAUAGUGUUUUUCUACUUUGCCAUCUUCAGUUUUCAUUUCUGCCAUUUUCCUGGUUUCCC